rnacentral:lncRNA from 10 species
CCGCCUUGCAGUUUGAUCUCAGACUGCUGUGCUAGCAAUCAGCGAGACUCCGUGGGCGUAGGACCCUCCGAGCCAGUGAGAUGAACCCGGUACCUCAGAUGGAAAUGCAGAAAUCACCCGUCUUCUGCGUCGCUCACGCUGGGAGCUGUAGACCGGAGCUGUUCCUGUUCGGCCAUCUUGGCUCCUCCCUCAGGAUGAAAUUAUGAAUUUUUAAAAUCUAAAAAAUAAGAGAAGGAAGAAGGAAUUGACUUCCAAUGUUUUGCUAAAAAGAUUAUUCAUGAUGAUCCAAGAGCACAUCCACCCCUCACAAUCACCAUCACCACCUAGUCGGGUCCUCUAUUCCUCCAACUAGGGCCAAGCAUGGAAAUGGCCAGGGCUGGAGUAAGUGAUUCUGUAUUUGUCUAAACAUGUGUCUGGUCAUUCCACGAAGAAAAUGCAAAUAAUUUCAGGAAUCAUCGGUAUCCUUCAGAAAGCCUGGGCAAUAAACCGAAGGCUCCUAAAAAGAGCAAAGUGUCUGGUGAGUCAAGCAGAAUCUCAAAGCUGAACUAAAUUUGGUGAAUCUGGACUUUGCCAGCCCUGAAGAAGAAUAAGCAUGAAGGAACUCUUCAAGUAGCUAGUGCAUUUGUGUUGCUGUCAGCAAAAUAGCCAGUUGGAGAGCUAUGCUGUUCUCCACUAAAAGAAUUGUAGAACCAUUGGGCUUUAAUAGAUUUGAAAGACUGUAUAAUUGAAUUUAUAAUCAUCUGGCUUAGAAAAUAUGCAAAAUCACAUUCAUAGUGAGCAGAUGAGUUAUGGUAUCCGUGGACAAUUCUGAUAGGAAAUAUUGGUUAUAUCUGGUGAAACCCAUGAUAAACCAAAGGCACGUUAAGGGCAGAUGGUUGGAGUUGGGGUAUGAGUGUUGGUCAUACGGUGGAGGGGAAAAGAGUAGGAUGUUAGGAUCAUGCAGAAAUUAUGUGGUUGCCCUACAGAAAUGAUAAGCCAUAAAGUUCUACUCUGGCCAGUGUUUUAAGUCGAUGCUAGAAAAGAAAAACAAUAGUGGCACAGGGGUUGGUUAUUUGUUUUCCACAGGCCAAGAAUAUGUCAAAAUAAAGCCCAAUAGGAUGUAUAUUCAGUGGUCAAGUAGACUGAGAGAUGUUAACACACUUAUUCAUGGCAUCAUUUCAGAUUUUGCCUAUAGUAGGCAUUCAAAAGAUGUUUGUUAAAUUUUAUAAAUAAACAAAAGCUAUAUCAGCAUGGCCUUUUUCUAAUCCAAAACCUGGGCACACAGCCAGGAUAAACUUAAGCUGUCCAAAAGCCAUGUGCGCUCUCGCCAGAAUCAUCAAUUCUCUCCAGUCAUUUCACUAUGAAGAAGGCCUGGAUGAACUUAAUGGGAAAGUCCCAUUAGCUGCCACUCUUGGAUUGCAUAUCUACGUAUCCUUCAGAUUUCAUGUCCCUGAUAUAUUUGUGUUCUUGCUAGUCCUGAUUUUAAAUUAUUGCUUUUCCUUUUAAUAUUGUUCUGAUUUAUUUUUAUAUGUUACUCAAUAUUCUUUAAUGACAGCAAAUAAUGAUAAAAAUAAUAGCUGCCAUGGCCUAUUGAGGCUUCCUAUGACAGAAACUCUUCUAAGAUAAAAUUUCAUCCUCAUGACAACUCAUAACCUUUGAGAAAGUUUCCAUAGAUUUCUAUUUUACUACUAAAAAUACUGUGGUUUAGUGAGAUUAUGCAAUUAACUCAAAUUCACAAAGAUAGGAAAUGCUUCAGCUGGGAUGCAAACCUCUAUCUAAGAGAAAAACCCGAUUUCCUCAUUGCUAUAUAUACCAUUAAUUUGGAGCAAAGCAGAAUCACUUAAAAAUCCUUUUAAGUGAUGAUUAAAUAAAUCAUCAAUUGUUAAACAAUGAUUAGAUUCCUAAUUAUUUUCAGUCAUUUGUUUACCACUAAAUAUAACAAUAGUAGUAAUAAUAAUAAUGAUAACCCAUCUGCCUGUGUUCUUAAGUGUCUUAUAUAUUAGUUGUGGAAAUAAGACAUAUAUGAUGAACUGUUAAAAACUAUAGAAGAGAAUUUAUACCUAAAUAUGUUCAUGUAUUAAGUAGUACAAGAAAGUCAUCUGGAAAUUUUAAAAUGAAAGGAAAUCUGCAAAUAUUAAGUCAACUGGGCAUUUCUUUUCAGGAAAUGAAAAUUAAGCUGAAUCUGAAGGGUGCUAAGAACAAAAUUGAUGGAGGUGAAGACAGAGACUUCUACAUAAAGGAAAUAGUUAGAAAUUAAGCACAGAGACAAAAAUAAAAGACAGUGUUUUGUAGGGGCAGAGUGAUUGGGCAUAGCCAAGAAACAGGAUAUAUUAAGUAGAUUGAUAAUAAGGUUUAAAUGCUUCAAAAGUUCUAAGCUUAGAUGCUUGGAAACAAAAUUUGACCAAGAAUUUGGGUAAUAAAUUUGAAGAAUAAAAUGAGAAGCUUAAUUUGCAUGUGUUCAGUUUAAAAUGAUAUCCGGUUGGAAAUACCAAAUUGUAGAGCUGGAGACAUUGUACUGGGAAUUGAGUAAUGGUCAGGAUUUAUUACACUGGGACAGAAGAGACCAACACAUAGAAUACACUGAAGGUCAGGUUCUGUCCAGAAACCACUCAACACCAGAGCAUUAAUGAAUAUGUGAAUAAGUAAGUGCAUCUUCUUAGCUCAGGCAUGGAAACUGAUUUAAAAUGUAAGAAGUCUGUAUGGAUGGGAGAAAGAAGUGGAAAUCAAUUUAAGGGAAAAAAAGCAAAAUCAGAAUAUACAAUCUCUCUUCUGAGGCCCUAGUCAUAUGUUGCUAACUAUAGAGGAGUCAUUAGAUAAAAGUGUGUACAUUUGGAAGCAAACAAAGACUGCAUCCCAUGAGAUUUCAGAAGCUAUGAUUAUUAUAAAGAGCAAUAGACUCUCAAAAAUACUCUUAAAAUACUAUACAUAAAAAUAGCUAGUAUUUAAAGGCUCAUAAAAUUCUUGAACAGGUAUUAGCCAUUUAAGAAGUGAUGGUAGAAAGAGAAAUGUAUAGGUCAGAGAACAGUCCUUGGAAAAUGAAAGGAGUUAGGAAGUAAAAGAAAGAAAAUCAAGGGAAAUAAAUGAAAGAAUGACAGAGCCAGGCACGAUGGCUCAUGCCUGUAAUCCCAGAACUUUGGGAGACCAAGGCAGGUGGAUCACCUGAGUUCGGGAGUUCGAGACAAGCCUGACCAACGUGGUAAAACCCUAUCUUUACUAAAAAUACAAAAUUAGCCAGGCAUGGGGGCAUAUGCCUCUAAUCCCAGCUACGCGGGAGGCUGAGGCAGGAGAAUCGCUUGAACCCAGGAGGCAGAGGUUGCGGUGAACUGAGAUGGCGCCAUUGCACUCCAGCUUGGGCAACAGGAGUGAAACUCCAUCUCAAACAACAACAACAACAACAACAACAACAACAACAACAAAAACACUUUCACACCUGAAUGACUAAAUAAUUGGAAAUAAUAAGGGUUGAGGGGGAGAAUAAAGCUACUGAAAUAUGGAAAGAAGACUAACACUACUUUUAAACUGAUGUUCUACUAAUGUAGACCCGUACAUCAUAUCACCAUUACAUUGUUUAAGCAUUAAAGUUUGCACUGUAAGUGGCUCUUUAAACCCUUCCCUCCAUUUCUUUUCCCUCU